AGGAUUAUAGUUUAUUAAAACAAAACAUUUGACUUGCAAUCAAAAAAUAUUGAAAUUCAAUUUAUCUUA
rnacentral:tRNA from 1 species